GGUCAGGUCAGUCAAUCAGAGCUCUUCUUGCUUCCAGCAACCAGCUGAUCGCUCUCGAGCCAUUCUCGUGCUACUCGAUCGCGGCUUUGUCUGGUAGCAGCGUCGAGCCUUGUGGUCUGUACCCGAUCGGAGCUCCGCCGGCUGCACCUGUUCAGCAGCAACAUUGUGGACAGUACCUCCCGCAUGUUUAUUCGGUUUAACCUCGGUAUCGAAUCCAUGGGAGAGAAUUCCAUUCCUGUCUCCUAUGGACAAAAAUAUUCAAGAUCAGAAUCCCAUGGGGAACUCCAAUAGCAGUUGGCAAGUCUCCAACAACAAAUGACAACUUUUGGGGCAAAAUUGAAUGACUGAAUUUUCCAUUCUUCCAAUCCAUUUAGAAAAUCCGGUAACAAUGUUUCCUACUCUUCCUACUACUAAUUUUUUGUCUGGGACUAUAAGAAACUUUGCAGGGAUGAUCACAGGAGAAAAACUGAAUGGCCAAAAUUACUCUCCUGGUCCCAAACCGUCAAAAUGGUCCUUGAAGGGCGCUAUAAAUUCGGGUACUUGACUGGAGAAAUACCGCGACCAAGCCCUGGGGAUCCCCAAGAGCGUGUCUAGAAAGGAGAGGAUUCGUUACUUUGCUCGAUGUUGAUCAGUAGCAUGGAACCUUAGAUUGGGAAACCCCUGCUCUAUUCGGCCAUUGCACGAGGUAUUUGGGAUGCGGUCCAGAGAUUAUAUUCUAGAAGGCAGAACACGUCCCAUCUAUAUACUCUACGUAAAUAGGUCCAUGAGUGCAAACAAGGGAGCGUGGAUGUAACGUCAUACUUCAACAAGAUGUCUUUAUUAUGGCAGGAGAUGGAUUUGUGACGGGAGAUCAUCUGGAAUUGCUCACAUGACGGAAUUCAGUAUUCGAAGAUAGAAGCGAUUGAUCGUGUAUAUGACUUCCUUGUGGGAUUGCAUCCAAAAUUUGAUAUGGUUUGGAGUCGAAUUCUAGGGUAAAAGCCGAUACUGUCUCUCAUAGAGGUCUGCUCAGAGGUCCGGUUGGAAGAAGAUAGAUCAGGUACUAUGAAUGGCUCUGCUGUUACCACUAUGGAGUCAGCUGCCUUUGGGGUGAAAUCGUUUGGAUCGGACUACGACAAGCAGAGUGGCAAAACACCUCAAAUAUGUGAACAUUGCAAGAAGCCGUGGCACAUAAAGGACCUGUGCUAGAAGCUACAUGGUCGACCUCCUAAUGGAAAAUGUUGCCCUUCGAAUGACAAAUCGAAGUCUGGCCGAGCUCUUGUGAGUGAAUCUGUUGAGGAGGCCGUUCAACCUCAGGUGACCAACCCAGGUGACUCAGGUACCGUAGGGGUCGGAACAAUUGCUCAGUCAGGUACUCAGUCCUUUAGUUUCUUUGUUGAAGGCAAUGAAUUAUGAAUUCUAGAUUCAGGAGUGACCAAUCACUUGACUGGCUCAUCUGAUUGAUUCCUCUCGUAUUGUCCGAGUGUUGGAAAUGAGAGGAUUCAAAUUGUAGAUAGGUCCUUCGCUCCUAUUGCAGGAAAAGGACUUGAGCUCGAGGACAACGAUUGACACUGUCCGAUAUGACAGGGGCCUCUAUUUCCUUUCUGAAGUUGCUUCCACUAGGAAUUUGUUUAGGACGGGUCUUUUAUCGUCAUUUACUAUGUUUGAAAAGUAUUAUUUAUUAUGGCAUUUUUGCCUUGGACAUCCAAGUUUUCAAUAUAUGAAAUAUUUGUUUCCCCAUUUAUUCCAUAAUGUGAAUAUUUCUUCUCUAUUUUGUGAUGUCUGUAUACGUGCUAAACAGCCUCGUGUUACCUUUGUUUCACAGCCUUAUAAACCUACCCAGCCUUUCCACCUGAUCCACAGUGAUGUUUGGGGCCCUUCAAACAUCUCUACCUUGUUCGGUAAACGAUGGUUUGUCAUGUUUAUCGAUGAUCAUACCCGGCUUACAUGGGUGUAUCUCCUUACUGAUAAGUUUGAGGUCGUGUCUAUCUUCCAAUAAUUUUACUUAACUCAGUUUGAUACGAAGAUUGCCAUCCUCCAGAGUGACAAUGGACGUGAGUUCGUCAAUCACACCCAUCGGGAAUUCCUGACUUCAAAAGGAAUUGUCCAUCAAAAUUCUUUUGCUUACACUCCGCAACAAAAUGGGGUGGCUGAAUGGAAAAAUUGCCAUCUCAUUGAGGUUGCUCGAUCCCUGAUGAUUCCUGUGUCUCUUCCAUCGUAUUUAUGGGGAGAUGCUGUUCUCACUGCAAUCCAUCUAAUUAAUAGGAUGCCCUCACGCGUUCUUAAGUUUCAAACACCCCUCGAGUGUUUUAAAGAAUCCUGCUUGUCCACGCGUCUUAUUCCUGAGGUUCCUCUUCGUGUGUUUGGUUGUACAACCUUCGUCCAUACUCACGGUCCCCACCAAACUAAGUUUGCCCCACGAGCUCAAAAGUGUGUAUUUGUCGAGUAUCCUCUUCAUCAGCAGGGUUAUAAAUGUUUCCAUCCAUCUUCAAGGAAGUACUUUGUCACUAUGGAUGUUAUGUUCCGUGAAGAUAAACCUUUUUUUCCCGUUAGUCAUCUUCAGGAGGAGACCACUAGUGAAGAGACUAACAGUUCCACAUACUCCGUACCUAUUGACUUUAACCAUGAACCUAAUCUAGAUACAAAUACAAAUGUUCCUGUUCUACCUAGUUCCGAAUCUGGUCUAGAGAUCCUGGUGUUUGUUCUCCCUACUAGGCAGGUGCCUUGGAUAACAUACUAUAGGAAGAAUCUCAGAAAGGAAACCCCCGUUGACCCAUUGGAAGCUGUCCAAGAAUCGGAACUAGCAUCGACUCAAGUUCAAGAUCCUGUUGUUUCAGAGAAUGUCCUUGAAGGAAAGUCUGGGUGUGUAAAAGGUGGUAGGAUAGGCUGAGAGAAGGUUGAAACUACAAAUGGUAAUGAGGUACUGGAAGAUCCUCAGAAGGAUGAGAACUUGCCACAGGAGUCUGAGCAGAGUCGGUACCUUGAUACUGGAAAGAGGCCGGAGAAAACUGGCGAUUAUGAUACCAUUCUUGAUAUGCCCUCUACGGAAAGGAACCAGGUCAUGCACCAAGUACCCUAUGCAUAGCUUUCUAACCUAUAGUAAUUUGUCUCCUGGUUUUAAAGCAUUUACUACCCAACUGGAUGUUCUAGCAAUACCUACUAGUGUGCACACAACCAUGGAAGUUCUCGAGUGGGAAGCGGCAGUUAUGAAAGAAAUGAGAGCCGUUGAAGCAAAUAAAACUUGGGAUCUGGUGGCCCUCCCUAAAUGUCACAAAACAAUUGGAUGCAAAUGGGUGUUCACAGUGAAGUAUAAAUUUGACGGAACGCUUGAAAGAUACAAGGCCAGGUUAGUAGCUAAAGGGUUCACUCAGACAUAUGGGAUUGACUAUUCAGAAACUUUUUCCCCAGUGGCUAAGCUCAACACAAUCCGAGUUCUUUUGUUCGUUGCCGCGAAUAAGGACUGGUCUCUACAUCAACUGGAUGUAAAAAAUGCCUUUCUGAAUGUGAGUUAGAAGAAGAGGUUUACAUGAGUCCUCCGGGUUUUGAAGCAAAAUUUGGGAACCAUGUUUGCAAACUCAGAAAGUCCUUAUAUAGGUUAAAACAGUCUCCGAGAGUGUGGUUUGAUAGAUUCCUGAUGUUUGUUAAAUCCCAAGGGUCUGUUCAAGGGCAUUCUGAUCAUACCUUGUUCACCAAAAGAUCAUUGUCCGGGAAGAUUGCUGUUUUGGUGGUUUACGUUGACGAUAUCAUUUUGUCAGGGGAUGAUACGACAGAGAAUGAUAAGCUGAAACAGAGGAUGGCAAACGAGUUUGAGAUUAAAGAUCUUGGCGGUUUGAGAUAUUUCUUGGGGAUGGAAGUGGCGGGAUCGAAAGCAGAAAUAUCUGUGUCUCAAUGGAAAUAUACACUAGACUUGUUAAAGGAAAUGAAUUACUAGAUGUAAACCCAUUGACACUCUUAUUGAAGUUAAUGGCAAACUGAAAAAUACUACGGAAGGAAUUCUUGUAAAUAAAGAGAGGUAUCGUCUUGUGGGAAAAUUGAUUUACCUAUCUCAUACCAGACCUGAUAUAUCAUACGCUGUGAGUGUGGUAAAUCAAUUCAUGCAGAGUUCGUAUGAGGAACACAUGAAAGUGGUUACUUAAAUUUUGAGAUAUUUGAAAUCCACCCUAGAAAAGGGCGUAGUUUUUAGAAAAUUUGACAAACAGAGCAUCGAAGCGUAUACUGACUCAGAUUGGGUAGGAUCAGUGAUCGAUAGAAAGUCAACUUCGGGAUAUUGUACCUUUGUAUGGGGAAAUUUGGUUACCUGGCGGAGUAAGAAACAGGGUAUAGUUGCCAGGAGUAGUGCCGAGGCGGAGUAUAGAGCUAUAAGCCUGGGAGUGUGAAGAAAUAUGGUUAUAGAAAGUUUUGUCCGAUCCUCAACAGAACAGUCUUGGUCUCAUGAAAUUGUAUUGUGAUAAUUAGGUUGCCAUCAGUAUUGCCAAGAAUCCAGUGCAACACGAUAGAACCAAACAUGUUGAGAUUGACAGACACUUUAUUAAAGAGAAGUUAGACCACGACAUUAUUUGUAUUCCCUAUGUUCUUUCAGGACAACAGGUCGCAGAUGUUCUUACCAAAGGGUUAUCGAGACAAACUUUUGAAGCUUAUGUUAGUAAAGUUGUUUCUCCUCACUCUAUUUAUAUAUGAGGUUGGGGUCUCUUGUAAGUAUGAUAUUAAAAUAAUAAAAGCUUUUCUUUCGUGGUUU